AGGUGUUUGCAGACCACGAGUCAAGCCUUAACCCGAUUGACGUACCCAGAGCUUGGUUAUGGAAUUUACCAAAAAAAACAGUGUAUUUUGGAACUUCCAUACCAUCAAUAUUCAAAGGCCUGACAACAGAGGAAAUUCAAUACUGCUUCUGGAGAGGGUUUGUCUGUGUGAGGGGAUUUGACCGAAAGGAACGAGCACCCCGGCCGCUUAGGGCGAGGCUGCACUUUCCCGCAAGCAGGUUAAAACAAACAAAGCCAAAGACUGAAGAGAAAGAGAAGUUGAAGCAGUAGCAGACAUACAGAGUUGGCUAGAUACAAAUGUUGGCUGUUCAUGAACAGUGGCAUGAUCGAUAUUUUGGUAGUGUUAGGGACAGCAGUUAACUUGGAUAACCUAAAGAUGUUUUGUUAUGUUAAUUUUGUUCUAGUAGAUGCAGUUUUAUAU